ACACAAACAAACAAUUAUCGUCGAAUAAUUGUUCGGAUCCGGGUUCCCGAAAGUGUCUAUUUCGAUACCGGAACCCACCGUCACUCACCCGUCAUCUCCGAACCCAUAUAUGACGAUGGUGACCAGCCGACAAGGCUCAAUGACAACUCUCAGAGCAAACAAACAACGUCGGAAGAAAUCCGAACCGAAACCGCGUUCCACCGGCGAAUUUCGCCGAAAAACGCACUGAAAUCGCUAUUCAAUUUCCGCGAAAAG
rnacentral:lncRNA from 1 species